CCUACGGGAGGCAGCAGUGGGGAAUAUUGGACAAUGGGGGGAACCCUGAUCCAGCCAUGCCGCGUGUGUGAAGAAGGCCCUCGGGUUGUAAAGCACUUUCAGUGAGGAAGAACGCCUGGUGGUUAAUACCCAUCAGGAAAGACAUCACUCACAGAAGAAGCACCGGCUAACUCCGUGCCAGCAGCCGCGGUAAUACGGAGGGUGCGAGCGUUAAUCGGAAUUACUGGGCGUAAAGCGCGCGUAGGUGGCUUGAUAAGCCGGUUGUGAAAGCCCCGGGCUCAACCUGGGAACGGCAUCCGGAACUGUGAAGCUAGAGUGCAGGAGAGGAAGGUAGAAUUCCCGGUGUAGCGGUGAAAUGCGUAGAGAUCGGGAGGAAUACCAGUGGCGAAGGCGGCCUUAUGGACUGACACUGACACUGAGGUGCGAAAGCGUGGGUAGCAAACAGGAUUAGAUACCCUAGUAGUC
rnacentral:rRNA from 1 species